AUCUUAAUUUAUAGGUGAAUCAGUGGCUAACCUGGUUAGAAACUGCUGAAGAAGAAGAAUCAGAGGAAGAAGCUGACUAAAGAACCAGCCAAAGCCUUAAAUUGUGCAAAACAUACUGUUGCUAUGAUGUAACUGCAUUUGACCUAACCACUGCGAAAAUUCAUUCCGCUGUAAUGUUUUCACAAUAUUUAAAGCAGAAGCACGUCAGUUAGGAUUUCCUUCUGCAUAAGGUUUUUUUGUAGUGUAAUGUCUUAAUCAUAGUCUACCAUCAAAUAUUUUAGGAGUAUCUUUAAUGUUUAGAUAGUAUAUUAGCAGCAUGCAAUAAUUACAUCAUAAGUUCUCAAGCAGAGGCAGUCUAUUGCAAGGACCUUCUUUGCUGCCAGUUAUCAUAGGCUGUUUUAAGUUAGAAAACUGAAUAGCAACACUGAAUACUGUAGAAAUGCACUUUGCUCAGUAAUACUUGAGUUGUUGCAAUAUUUGAUUAUCCAUUUGGUUGUUACAGAAAAAUUCUUAACUGUAAUUGAUGGUUGUUGCCGUAAUAGUAUAUUGCCUGUAUUUCUACCUCUAGUAAUGGGCUUUAUGUGCUAGAUUUUAAUAUCCUUGAGCCUGGGCAAGUGCACAAGUCUUUUUAAAAGAAACAUGGUUUACUUGCACAAAACUGAUCAGUUUUGAGAGAUCGUUAAUGCCCUUGAAGUGGUUUUUGUGGGUGUGAAACAAAUGGUGAGAAUUUGAAUUGGUCC
rnacentral:lncRNA from 1 species